rnacentral:rRNA from 1 species
UGCGUAGGCGGUUCGCUAAGUCGAAUGUGAAAACUCUGGGCUCAACCCAGAGCCUGCAUUCGAUACUGGCGGGCUAGAGUUCUGGAGGGGGUAGCGGAAUUCCUGGUGUAGCGGUGAAAUGCGUAGAUAUCAGGAGGAACACCGGUGGCGAAGGCGGCUACCUGGACAGAAACUGACGCUGAGGCACGAAAGCUAGGGGAGCAAACA